rnacentral:rRNA from 1 species
UUUAUGGAGAGUUUGAUCCUGGCUCAGGAUGAACGCUGGCGGCGUGCCUAAUACAUGCAAGUCGAGCGAACGGACGAGAAGCUUGCUUCUCUGAUGUUAGCGGCGGACGGGUGAGUAACACGUGGAUAACCUACCUAUAAGACUGGGAUAACUUCGGGAAACCGGAGCUAAUACCGGAUAAUAUUUUGAACCGCAUGGUUCAAAAGUGAAAGACGGUCUUGCUGUCACUUAUAGAUGGAUCCGCGCUGCAUUAGCUAGUUGGUAAGGUAACGGCUUACCAAGGCAACGAUGCAUAGCCGACCUGAGAGGGUGAUCGGCCACACUGGAACUGAGACACGGUCCAGACUCCUACGGGAGGCAGCAGUAGGGAAUCUUCCGCAAUGGGCGAAAGCCUGACGGAGCAACGCCGCGUGAGUGAUGAAGGUCUUCGGAUCGUAAAACUCUGUUAUUAGGGAAGAACAUAUGUGUAAGUAACUGUGCACAUCUUGACGGUACCUAAUCAGAAAGCCACGGCUAACUACGUGCCAGCAGCCGCGGUAAUACGUAGGUGGCAAGCGUUAUCCGGAAUUAUUGGGCGUAAAGCGCGCGUAGGCGGUUUUUUAAGUCUGAUGUGAAAGCCCACGGCUCAACCGUGGAGGGUCAUUGGAAACUGGAAAACUUGAGUGCAGAAGAGGAAAGUGGAAUUCCAUGUGUAGCGGUGAAAUGCGCAGAGAUAUGGAGGAACACCAGUGGCGAAGGCGACUUUCUGGUCUGUAACUGACGCUGAUGUGCGAAAGCGUGGGGAUCAAACAGGAUUAGAUACCCUGGUAGUCCACGCCGUAAACGAUGAGUGCUAAGUGUUAGGGGGUUUCCGCCCCUUAGUGCUGCAGCUAACGCAUUAAGCACUCCGCCUGGGGAGUACGACCGCAAGGUUGAAACUCAAAGGAAUUGACGGGGACCCGCACAAGCGGUGGAGCAUGUGGUUUAAUUCGAAGCAACGCGAAGAACCUUACCAAAUCUUGACAUCCUUUGACAACUCUAGAGAUAGAGCCUUCCCCUUCGGGGGACAAAGUGACAGGUGGUGCAUGGUUGUCGUCAGCUCGUGUCGUGAGAUGUUGGGUUAAGUCCCGCAACGAGCGCAACCCUUAAGCUUAGUUGCCAUCAUUAAGUUGGGCACUCUAAGUUGACUGCCGGUGACAAACCGGAGGAAGGUGGGGAUGACGUCAAAUCAUCAUGCCCCUUAUGAUUUGGGCUACACACGUGCUACAAUGGACA